AAUGGACGAAAGUCUGACGGAGCAACGCCGCGUGAGUGAAGAAGGUUUUCGGAUCGUAAAACUCUGUUGUCGGAGAAGAACAAGUAGGAGAGUAACUGUUCCUACCUUGACGGUACCCGACCAGAAAGCCACGGCUAACUACGUGCCAGCAGCCGCGGUAAUACGUAGGUGGCAAGCGUUGUCCGGAUUUAUUGGGCGUAAAGCGAGCGCAGGUGGUUUCUUAAGUCUGAUGUGAAAGCCCACGGCUCAACCGUGGAAGGUCAUUGGAAACUGGGGAACUUGAAUGCAGAAGAGGAGAGUGGAAUUCCAUGUGUAGCGGUGAAAUGCGUAGAUAUAUGGAGGAACACCAGUGGCGAAGGCGACUCUCUGGUCUGUUAUUGACACUGAGGCUCGAAAGCGUGGGGAGCAAA
rnacentral:rRNA from 1 species